ensembl:lncRNA
CUGACAAGAUUGAAGGGAGCGCAACCCAGGAACUGGGGGGAGAAAAAUAAAAAAAAAGGGGGGGGGGGGGGGAAGGGAGGGAGGGGGGAGCGGGCGGGCAAAGGGGUAGAGGGAGAAGUAACCCCGGCUAAAGUUUGUACAAUUAGAACCCAUCCGCUUAAAGUAGACUUUGUGCUUUCGGCUUCUCCUUUCCCUUCGCUGCGAGGAUGUGUGUUGUAAGAGGAGCAAUUUGCCCACUGGCCUGGUCUGUCCUUCCUCCCACUGUCCUGGAGACCAAGAAGGAGACUGGUGAAUUGUCCCCUCUUUUCCCAUCUGAACCUCUGGAGCUGUACCUCGUAGGAUUUUUGCAAUGUCUUCACGUUCUUCCUGAAGAUUUGAUUAAAGUUACACGAUUGCAGAAAUCAUGUGUUAGACGCUGGGCAAAUAAACAGGGCUGGCUGGAAGCCUGCUCAGCUGCCUUAUGGCAACGGCUAUGUUCAGUAGUGGAGGAAGACACACGAAGGCUCAAACCGCAGUGGUGUUUCUGAGUUGAUCCCUUCUCUAAUUUGUCCUUCCUGUAUCCUUGCAGCCCUCUUUGUGCCUGCCAUCAUGUGGAAGGUGCUUCAGAAGAGCUAGUAUUUAUGUUAUCCUGAGGCCCUAACCACCCAAAUCCCCCCCAUUGCUGAGUUCUACUACCCACUUUCUGGGUGAAGUGGAGCAACCUUUUUUGCACUACAAAUGAAGUAUCCAUAAGGACCAAAGUCGGGGUGGGAUUUUCCAGCAAAGAACAUGCUUCUCAUGUAUAGAAGAGAGCACAGAGACUUCUGUUCUGUGAGAUAAUUUUUCCUGGUACAUGGUGUAGAGUCAAGGCCGAUACUUCUCAGUGCUGGUGCUGGAUUUCCACUAAUUUUGCAUCAGGGUCUUCCUCUGAAUCCCCCGUGGGAGCUGUCUGGUACUGCUUAAAGGGAUGGUGUUUUUUGUAAUUAUUUAAUGAAUGUUCCAGGUUUUUAUCCUGUGCUUGUUAAACCUUCAUUCCAGUGAAAGUGUAAUCCCAUAUUACUGAAUUUGGAUAAAAAGUGAUCGAGAAUAAACAUUAAUUCCUCAGUAAAGACAUUGGAGUAAAUAUGAUUAGCCUAAUUUUAGUUUUUCUGGUUUGAAAAUAUAGACCCAAGUGCAGAACUGAGCAUUUUGAUUAGAUUAAAAACAUUUAAAAGUAACACAGCAUGCAAAGGGGGCCGUGAGUCUCCAUUAGACUUGUUAUGUUGGCUUAGAAACUUCAUGGGGUAUCUCUUUCUCCAGUGAAUUCUAGGAAAAAUCUCUGUUAAUUAUUAUCAGUUUCUUUCUUCAAUUCCAAUUUUUGAAUAUUUUUUUUUUUUUGAAUAAGGAAGUGACAGUGAAUUGGAGCAUCUUUAAUUUAAACAAGUUUUUUUUAGCCCUUAGCUGAUGUUGUUGUAUGCUCUCUCCUUAAUCCCUCUGUGAGUUUCCUCCUGCUUUGUGAGACACAGGAGUCCCAACAUUAAAAAAAUAAAAUAAAAUAAAAUAAAAUAAAAUAUAAAAUAAAUAAAAUAAAAUAAAAUAAAUAAAAUAAAAAGUAAAAAAUAAAAAGAAAGCUGAAGCCUAUUUCAGGUUACUAUCUUCUUAUUCCUUCUUUCUAGUUCUCUUUACCUACACAGUCAGCCAUGAAUACUGCACCUUCAUUUAAAUUUUCAGCCAUUGAAUCAUGAUCACUUGAAGACCCAGGAACCCUGGAUGUAACUCAAGGGGUUAUGCUGUUUUUACUGUUUGGCACCUGCUCAGGAAAGGGAACUUAGCUUAGCAGUUAAAGCAUAUGGCAGGGGGAGAUAGCCCAGUAUCUUGGAUGGAGACGCAUAUAUUUUGUACUCUCAUGGUAUGAUGCAUUCUUGUGCUUUGCAGAUGGUGCUUCAGAAUUGUUGCUCUGAAAAGUAAUUUUGACCAGCCAUGCAGGUCUGCUGACACAAACACGAGGAUCAUCAGGUUCUGUGCAGACACUCCCGUGUGCUGCAGAUAUCCUAGCUAGGGA